rnacentral:rRNA from 1 species
GACGAACGCUGGCGGCGUGCUUAACACAUGCAAGUCGAACGGAAAGGCCCUGCUUUUGUGGGGUGCUCGAGUGGCGAACGGGUGAGUAACACGUGAGUAACCUGCCCUUGACUUUGGGAUAACUUCAGGAAACUGGGGCUAAUACCGGAUAGGAGCUCCUGCUGCAUGGUGGGGGUUGGAAAGUUUCGGCGGUUGGGGAUGGACUCGCGGCUUAUCAGCUUGUUGGUGGGGUAGUGGCUUACCAAGGCUUUGACGGGUAGCCGGCCUGAGAGGGUGACCGGCCACAUUGGGACUGAGAUACGGCCCAGACUCCUACGGGAGGCAGCAGUGGGGAAUAUUGCACAAUGGGCGGAAGCCUGAUGCAGCAACGCCGCGUGCGGGAUGACAGUCUUCGGGUUGUAAACCGCUUUCGCCUGUGACGAAGCGUGAGUGACGGUAAUGGGUAAAGAAGCACCGGCUAACUACGUG